rnacentral:rRNA from 1 species
UACGGAGGGUGCAAGCGUUAUCCGGAUUCACUGGGUUUAAAGGGUGCGUAGGUGGGCAAGUAAGUCAGUGGUGAAAUCUCCGGGCUUAACCCGGAAACUGCCAUUGAUACUAUUUGUCUUGAGUACUGUGGAGGUCAGCGGAAUAUGUCAUGUAGCGGUGAAAUGCUUAGAUAUGACAUAGAACACCAAUUGCGAAGGCAGCUGGCUACACAAAUAUUGACACUGAGGCACGAAAGCGUGGGGAUCAAACAGG